CUCUUUUGUUUCUAGAUUAUUUCUGGUUCACAACUGCGUGGCUGCCUGGUUUAUUUCGGAUUCGUGACUGAUCUAAAUUAUUUCUGUCAUUAAUUAAUGGCCAUCUGGCUUCUUUCCACCAGCGGUAAGUGUGAAGAGGUGUGCGUCUGCAGGAUUUCACUAAAUUCCCAUUGACUCAAGCCUCCCUCUGUUUCUCACAAUACGGUCAAGGGAGCAGCUCAUUUAUAAAAGGACAGGCCAGUUUCAACCUGAUGGGUUGAAAGAAUUAGCCAGUGCCAAAUGAUACUUUAUUGAUCUUUUCUUGGGAAGGUGAGGGGAAGUGGGGCAACGUAGAGUCCUCAAAUUGCUUGUCUGGGUUCAUCUUCCCCGAAGGGGCAGCUUGCAUACAAUCCCCGUUAUAUUGGCUUUGGCAUAGUGGCGGGCUUUUAGGAUGCUGUCGGCUCUCCAUCUGUGUGUCGAUAGGUUCCUCGUGCUCCUUUGUAGUAAUUCUCCCCACCGUAUUGGAUCUUGGAUCAACUGGAGUAAUUGAUAAUUGACUCCAUCACUGAACAGGAUUCCAGGUCUUAAGAUACUGUCUGGGUGAGCCUAAGUCUCCAUAAUGAAGAGCUUACUAAUAACUGCUCCAUGACUGAACCACACUGACUCUGCAUUGUCAACUCCAUCUUAUCCCCAGCCAAGAUGCCCUACCCACUCCUCUCUCUGAAUGACUGAGCUUUAGUCUACUCACAAGGAAUGUGGCCAGGCUAGGAAAUUUCCCUACCACCUUUUAUCCUUGCCUUCUUCUGACACAGGAACUGAAAGAGUGCCUUUUGCUGACACAUAUGGUUAAUGGUCAGGAGACUCUCAGGGCAAGGAAAACCGUGUUCCCUUCAGUGCUAAUCUUUCUCUUAGCUGGUAGUCAUGAUCUGUUUUUAGCUUUGGCCCCUUUAAGUCCCCUGUACCCACUUUAAGCAGUGCAGAGCACAGCCUUGAAUGCCUCUGGACUGUCUUCUCCCCCGACCCCAUCCUGCCUGUAAGUUCCCCACAAU
ensembl:lncRNA